rnacentral:tRNA from 4 species
GCGAGAUUGGUGGAAUUGGUAGACACGUUGGUUUUAGAAACCAAUGCCAAAAGCGUAAGAGUUCAAGUCUCUUAUCUCGCACCA